GACGAGCUCCCCAAACGUUAUUCGGUAUUACUGGGCUUAAAGAGUUCGUAGGCGGCUCUGUAGGUGAGAUGUGAAAGCCCUCGGCUUAACCGAGGAACUGCGUUUCAAACCACAGGGCUUGAGGGAGAUAGGGGUAAGCGGAACAGAUGGUGGAGCGGUGAAAUGCAUUGAUAUCAUCUGGAACACCGGUGGCGAAGGCGGCUUACUGGGUCUUUUCUGACGCUGAGGAACGAAAGCUAGGGUAGCGAACGGGAUUAGAUACCCCGGUAGUCCUAGCCGUAAACGAUGAGCACUAGUCUGAGGGACUCUCACAGUUUCUCGGACGUAGCGAAAGUGUUAAGUGCUCCGCCUGGGGAGUAUGGUCGCAAGGCUG
rnacentral:rRNA from 1 species